UACGUAGGGUGCGAGCGUUGUCCGGAAUUAUUGGGCGUAAAGAGCCUGUAGGUGGUUUGUCGCGUCUGCUGUGAAAAUCCGAGGCUCAACCUCGGGCCUGCAGCCGAUACGGGCAGACUAGAGUUCGGCAGGGGAGACUGGAAUUCCUGGUGUAGCGGUGGAAAUGCGCAGAUAUCAGGAGGAACACCGGUGGCGAAGGCGGGUCUCUGGGCCGAUACUGACACUGAGGAGCGAAAGCGUGGGGAGCGAACAGG
rnacentral:rRNA from 1 species